CUAACUAAUCAGGAACAAAAAUAUCAAAAUGACUGCUCUUUUUUGAACAAAGCGUGAUUUAUCUUAAUGAGUAACUUCCUCUGCUCAUUCUGUCUAUCACUGAAGUGGAGCUUCUCAUGGGGUUUCAAGGGGAUGGUUACUUGAUGUUCACUACAUACACACAUUUAGAAAUAGUCAUUAAAAACAUUGCUCACAGUUUGAAUAGCAAUUCAGAAAAACAUUUAUAUAUAUUCUGUAUCAAAGACUCACAUUGACCUAAGCCUAAGAGAUUUCAGCUACAUGUAACCACACAGAUAUCCAAGGGUAAUAUCAUCAGCUUACUUCAGCCCACAUCUGUGCUGCUUCACUAUUUCUUGGGAUGGAGUUCAUAUGAGGCAGGACAGAUAUUCAGCCCUUAGGUAAAGUAGCUGCUACAAAGGAAGGCCAUUCACAUGUGAAAGCAUCAGUUGUGGCAUACUUCAUUUCACACAGGCAAAAACAACUUAGUAAAUGCUCACAUUGGCACUACUUUCUCUAGAAACAUACUCAUGUGAUGGGAGAACUGUAGCGGAAUCUCCACAGUCUGAAGCUCCAUCCUCAGAUCUGCUCCAGGUCUCUGCUAUGGGUGCUUUGUCUGGGAGGCAUUUUGCUCCCUCUGACCACAUUGCAAACCACAUUUGGGUCUCUGUGGCACCUAGGGGCCCAUAAUACCAUUAGGGGCCCAGGAACAUCCUUUCUCUUUUUUAAAUCAGAAGAAAAAAGUGAACUAUUAGGUUAAAGAAAAUGCUUUAUUAUGUAAUAUUGAUAUAUUUGUCUUUAUGUCAACACAGUCAUACAUAUAUUUCUUGAUCUCUCUCUCUCUGUCUCUGUGUGUGUGCGUGUGUGUGUGUGUGUGUGUGUGUGUGAGGGGGCCCAUGAAAACAAAAGUGCCUAGAGCCCACAAAAGCCAUAAAGCUACCUACCAUGCCUUCAGUUCUCAAAACCUGUGUAUGAAUCCUGUAAGGGAACUGGAUGCUAAUACCAACUUCUCAUAAUAUCCUACUCAAACAUUCAUGCACCCUUAUUUUCUCAUUCUUUAGCAGAAAAACACUGUGUUCAACUCAAACAUAAAGAUAUCUUACAGGGCUACCGAUCAUUGUUCAUCCAAUUUACCCAGCCAAGUCUGAAUGACUUUAGACUCAGGCCAAAACCACGUCUACUACAUAGCACCUGCAAUAUUGUAUGAAAGGAGCUGGAAGAUUGAAGUUCACAAGUGUUCUGGGAUCACCUUAUCCAAAGUCUGGGAGAAUGGGAAGGGCUGGCAGAGGUAGCAUCCAAGUUGAGACCUGUGAUAUGGGUAGACUAUGGAUUAGAGAGGAGAGCUGAGGCAGAGGGAAGGGAGUGUUUAAAGGCGCUACAGUGAGUCAGAGAAGGUGAUUUGGGAGUGUGGAGUAGGAGGUAGGGGGAGUGGUGGGGUUGAAUAGGUAGGGCCAACUCAUAAAAGGCCUUAGAAAGAGUUUGUACAUUAACCUGAGUGAAAUUGUGGAGCUAGGUAAUUUUUCAUUUUAGAAAGUCAUCUCUGGAUGCAUUCUGGGGAAGCUAGAGAACCAAGAAAAAUGGGGCAAGAGUGGGCAUGGAGAGGGUCAACUCUGCAUCGCUGUAAGUGAAUAUAAGUUGAUUGUCUAAACUCAGCAAUGGUACAAUUACCUGAUAUUUAGUAUAGGAAAUCAGCAGACGUAUGUUAAUGAAUUUUAAAAAAUUGAGUGAGAGGAGAGUUUUAUUCCUCCCAGACUUAUUAAGAGGUCUCUUAGAGACCCCAGAGAAGAAACAGGUUUAGAGGCUGGUAAAGCACAGAGUGGGGAAGAGGAGCACUUCAUUUCACCCAGGCAAUGAUUUUCUACUGAUAAGCAUUAACUUCUUCAAUAAAUAGAUAUUUUUGUGUACCUACCACAUUCUAGGCAAUCAGGAUGUAAUAAAGAAUCAAGGCAGACAGGAUUUAUGCUAUUUAGAAUUUGUGGUAUAGUGAGAGACAUACACCUUAAUCAAAUCUAAAACAUCAACUACAGGUUAUGCAAGGUGGGUACAUAGAGCUCUAUGACAAAGUACUACAGGUGUGAAAAUAAGUAAUUCAGAAUCAAAGCUGUUGUAUCUUUAAAUUAUUUUGAGCCUUAAAGAAAUAUAAUUAAGAAACUUGAGUGAUGUGACAGGCAGCUAUAACCUAGAGAACUGUAACCUUAUUUCCACUGAUUAUAGACUAGUGUUUUCUUUACCUACAUUGUUUUUUAAGAUGUUGUGAAAGACUAAUCGAUGCCAGAGAAGACUUCUUCUCUCUUAACUGUUGAUCUUCCUUGCAGAUUAACUUCCCUCUUACUUCCCUUAUACAAAGACCCCACAACUAAUCACAUUGUCUAAGAUGGAGUGUUAAAUAUACUCUGUUAAAUUGUAACAAAAAAAAAAAAAAGAGAAAACAAGCUGUAACUAAUGAAGUUGCUGUAAUUCAUGAACUAGCCUUAUUUGGAAAUGUGUUAUUCUGUUAAAUUUCUUUGUUUUCUGCCUAUAUAAGCAAGACCUUAACUUUUCAGCUUCUGAGCACUGACCUCAUUCCUUUGGAGUCUGUGUUACCCAGAUGUGUAUAUCAGCUUUGUGCUUCAGUAAAUUAUUUUAAAUUGGGUUCUAAUUCUUCUGAUGAUUUCAGAUUGACCCAGGGGACUUGCAAUAGUUAAAGAUGCAAUGGAAGAUUUACUUAGUUCAGUAGUGGUUGAACUGACCUAUGAAAAUCAUAUGUGUUAGCAAGGCAAAGAGUGGGUAGAUCUUUCCAAACAGAUGGAACAUUUUGUAUAAAGGUUUGGUGGAAAGAUAGAAUACACUGCCUUCAUGAAACUGUAUGACAGUCAAUGUGGCAGGCUCACAGAGGCUGGGGGAAACUUAAGACAGGAUGAAGCUAGAAAGGUAUACAGAAGCAAGAACACACAGAACCUAGACAAGUUAGUGUAUCCAAAGUCACAGUACACAG
rnacentral:lncRNA from 1 species